rnacentral:rRNA from 1 species
GACGAACGCUGGCGGCGUGCCUAAUACAUGCAAGUCGAACGCUUUUUCUUUCACCGGAGCUUGCUCCACCGAAAGAAAAAGAGUGGCGAACGGGUGAGUAACACGUGGGUAACCUGCCCAUCAGAAGGGGAUAACACUUGGAAACAGGUGCUAAUACCGUAUAACAAGUAAAACCGCAUGGUUUUACUUUGAAAGGCGCUUUUGCGUCACUGAUGGAUGGACCCGCGGUGCAUUAGCUAGUUGGUGAGGUAACGGCUCACCAAGGCAACGAUGCAUAGCCGACCUGAGAGGGUGAUCGGCCACAUUGGGACUGAGACACGGCCCAAACUCCUACGGGAGGCAGCAGUAGGGAAUCUUCGGCAAUGGACGAAAGUCUGACCGAGCAACGCCGCGUGAGUGAAGAAGGUUUUAGGAUCGUAAAACUCUGUUGUUAGAGAAGAACAAGGAUGAGAGUAAAAUGUUCAUCCCUUGACGGUAUCUAACCAGAAAGCCACGGCUAACUACGUGCCAGCAGCCGCGGUAAUACGUAGGUGGCAAGCGUUGUCCGGAUUUAUUGGGCGUAAAGCGAGCGCAGGCGGUUUCUUAAGUCUGAUGUGAAAGCCCCCGGCUCAACCGGGGAGGGUCAUUGGAAACUGGGAAACUUGAGUGCAGAAGAGGAGAGUGGAGUUCCAUGUGUAGCGGUGAAAUGCGUAGAUAUAUGGAGGAACACCAGUGGCGAAGGCGGCUCUCUGGUUUGUAACUGACGCUGAGGCUCGAAAGCGUGGGGAGCAAACAGG